CCCAUAAAACGUAUGGCAAUUGCUAGCAAUUUGCUUAAAUAUUCUUAGCAUUUUCUAGCUAUUUUCUUUUGAAAAUGUAACUCAUUUUUCAUUGCAACUUCUACCAACACUGGAUGCUGCUGCUGCAGCAAGAGCAACAAAUAGCGAGAGUUUUGUUUAACUGUUUAACACUGUAUUUAUGUGUCGGUGUGCAACAAAACUGACACGAGAAAACCACAGGGAGUACACGACGGCAGAGCGCUGCGGCAGGGGGUUGCAGCUGGAAACGGGCGUCAACUGCAUGCAUGAGUAAUAGCGUAGCGACGCUGGCAACACAUUUCGUAUUGCAAUUGCAAUUAAGAUCAAUAUUUAAGUAAUGCGCCGGGUCGCAGCCAGCGUUUGCCAAUUGCUAAGCAAUCGAAAAACAGAAGAGUGCACUAACACACAUACACACAGAUGUAUAUACAAAAUCGGAACGCGCGAGACACGUCCGCUUCGUCAAGAAACAGCCAACUGACGAGUUUGACAAACAAAUAUAACAACAAUAUAAC